AAGCAAAGUGAACAUGAAAUGAAUACAAAAAAUUUAUGUCUUAACUUAAUAGCGGUUUUUUUUAUUAUUUUACUGUAUUAUAUACCUGCUGUCAGCAGGUAUAUAAAUGGUCAAAAUUUAUAUUACAGACAAAGUACAGCUAAAGAAGUAUAAGGCAGAAGAACCUGUUCAAUUGUGCCGCCCGGAACAUGACAGAUUCGUCAUUGACACUUAGUGCCGCCCGGCACACCUGUCAAGAAAAUGAGUGACAUUCCAGAAAUCAACAUUUUUAAAAUUAAAAGACGAGGAGGAAUUAAGGUCAGAAAAAGAUUUGAAACAAAGCAAAAUUUAAAAUUGGAAAUAAUAAAAGAAAUUCGAACCAAUGAACAAGUAGAAAUAAAGACCCUCAAUUCAGAUGAAGAAUUUUCGAAAUUUUUUCAAAAACUCUUAGACAAUACUUCAGAAAUUAUAGAAAAUAAGAAUAAAUUGUAAAUGUGUAAUAUAAUUGUACUUUUAAAUAUAUUUCAUAUAUAACUGUA